UUCGCAAUGCCCGAAAGGGUGACGAAGCGACGCCGCGUGCGGGAAGAAGGCCUUCGGGUUGUAAACCGCUGUCGGGAGUUAAGAAAUGCAAGGAUGUUAAUAGCGUCUUUGCUUGACUAAGGCUCCGGAGGAAGCCACGGCUAACUCUGUGCCAGCAGCCGCGGUAAUACAGAGGCGGCAAGCGUUGUUCGGAAUUAUUGGGCGUAAAGAGCACGUAGGCGGCUGUGUAAGUCGGUUGUGUAAGCCUUCCGCUCAACGGAAGAACGGCAUCCGAUACUGCAUAGCUUGAGUGCGGGAGGGGAGAGUGGAACUUCUGGUGGAGCGGUGAAAUGCGUAGAUAUCAGAAGGAACGCCGGCGGCGAAAGCGGCUCUCUGGCCCAUAACUGACGCUGAGUGUGCGAAAGCUAGGGGAGCAAACGGGAUUAGAUACCCCGGUAGUCCUAGCCGUAAACGAUGGGCACUAAGUAGAGGGGUUUU
rnacentral:rRNA from 1 species